CUUCACCUUCCUUUGCCCUGCUGCUUCUUCCCUCUCCUCAAAUCCUGCUGCUGCUGCUAGACUUCUUCCCUGAACCUCAACUGCUAAUGCGCCCGUUCUGCUUCUCCUCUUGCUGCUGCUUGUGCGCUGCAGCUGCAUCUUCUUCUCCUGCCUACUACUGCUUCUUCUUCCCCACGUCACUUCUGCUGCUCCUGCUCUUCUCUGCCUCGCUACUGUUCUUCUUACCUGAAUCUCAAAACUGUUGCUGCUCUCUUUCUUUCUCUUUCUCUCACUCUUUCUAUGUGCGUGUGUUUGUGUGUGUGUGUAGUUGCUGAUAGUUAUUAGUGGAUGCUAGAUCAAUUACAUUCAAAUUAGUAUUAGCUCUCUAUGUGUCUGUAUGUCAGUUAGUGUACUUUUCUGUUCUGAAAAGGUGAAACUUGUGUACUGUUCUGAACACCCAAUUUGUGUUUUUUAUGUAUUAGUUUCUGCAAUAUAUGUGAAACUGUGAGUUGUUGAGCUGAUCAUUUUUGAUUAGACUUGUACCGUCAUACAUUGUGAGUCAUAUAUAUAUAUAAAUUCGGUCAAUUCUAGUAACUGUGGUGUUCCAUAUUUGUGAAUCUCCUGUACAGAUGAGUUCCAUUGCUAUAGAACUCAAUGCUGCUCUACAUCAUCUUAAAUGUUUGCUUGUGAACCAUGUACUAUAAUCUUUCUAUCCCAUAUCCUUUAUGCUUGCCUGUGUUAGUAUUUUAAUUUCUCUAGCAAAACGAAACUACUAAAAAGAUAGAGAGUAUAAUCUGAACCUUCCUUUUCUUCUUUUCAUUUUCUUUUGUCGAUGAUUUUUCCCGAAUGAUCUUAGUUAGUCUAGAGUUAAUAUUCUGCUUUCAUCACCCAAUAUUGUGUUACCUAGAUUUAGCCGAGCGUAGUCGCUGGUUGACUAGUCCCAGAGGAGAACAUGGCACUCGCAGUUUGGGCGUAAAACCCCACUACAUUUUCAAUCGAUCAUUUUGGCGCCGUUGCCGAGGACUAGCGUCGAGCAAUUGUGUUAGGCUAUAGACUAGGUUUUUCUUCUUUUUCUAGUUUGUGCCAUAUAUUUGUGAUAUAUCUCUAACCACUAACCCCUAUUCUAGCUAGUAUCUUUUUGUUUUCUUUUCCUUUUGCAGGUUAGAGCUAUCUACUCGGUUAUGGCAUAUUAUUCAGAUUGUCUCGGAGAUGCGAGGAACACUACAAACAACACGGAAACUAUUCAAGAACUGAUAAGUAAGAUUUCCCAUCGAUUAGAUGAUUUAGCUCGGCAGCGAGAAGUAGUUUUUGAGGAUAGGCCUAGCUCUUAUGAUCCUUAUUCUAGAGGUCAUCCUUAUGUUGCUCCUACAUGCCAUAUUUGUGGAUUUCAGGGCCAUUCACUCGCUGAAUGUCAGCGUGGUUACUCUCACUCUCCCGAUUGUUAUGGCAUGAGCCUCGCCCCACAGCCUAGCUCAUACCAAAACAAUUACUCAUAUGGGUGGCCUGAGAACCAGAAUAUUUCAUAUAGGAGCAACAACCCUGAGAUCUCACCGUUUGCUUCUAGUAAUCAUAUACAGGGAUUUAGGUUCAAUGAGGAGAGCCACAACUAUGCUCCACAACAGAUUUAUUCAGCUCCUACUCAUAUACCUCAACACCAGGAGAUGUUGCCAAUGGAGUUAAAUGGUCCUCCAUUUGGUCAACCAACAACUCCAGCAACCGCCGAGCAAUCUCAUGUGCAAGUGCCCACACAAGAUGAAUUUGAUGAUAUAGACAAGCUCACAUUGCUUAGUCUUGAGUUCACUUGGAGUGCAGAUGAUGAUCCUAUUAGGAAGGUUAUACUAGAGGAAAUGAAGAAGAUCAAGAGUGGAAAAGAGCUAGUUGAAGAAGUAAGGAAGAUUGAGAAGAACAUCAACACUGGCAACACUAUUUCUUCACAGCUUGAGCUGAGUGUUUCUGGGAUUCCCCUUGAUACAUGUGAGGUUCCAACACCUUCAUAUCCAGCCAAGGAAGAUAACAAGUGCCUUGAGGAAGAGAUAUCUCAGAUUGAAGAAGAUGAACUAGAAGACAAGGAACAAGAUGACCAAGAGCUUGAAUGCCCAAGUGAUCAAGACGAAGAUCCGUUGCCUAUCACUCCUGAAGAAGUAAAAGAAGCUCCUGUAGUUGAAGAUGAAGAACCAGAAAUUCAUUUGCCCAUUGUCAUACAAGAGUGUGAUAUAGCAGGUUUAUCUAAUCCUCUCGAUGACAUGCGUCCAUAUGAAUUGUUUGCUACUACCUUGCAUUGCAUGAUGUUAUCUGUUAAAGUAGAUUUGAAGAAGUGUUUGCUUGGAUAUGAUGAUACAUAUACUGUUGGUGGCAUUGCUCAUAUUAAUGAUGAUCACACUUAUUUUCCUCAUGCCAAACCUAUGCUUAAUGAUAAAUAUCAUCCUCAUGUUAGUAUUGAGCUUGCUGAUUCUUAUCAUACUAGCCAUGUUCUUUAUAGCUAUGCUUAUGUAAUUGGGUACUCUAUUGAUGAUUUAGAGGGCAUUACCCCUUUCACUUGUAUGGUCUCUUUUGUCGAGUGCUCUUUCAGGUUUUUGCUACUGCACCAUUCACUACAUGCUGACCAGGUUCGAGGUGACAUUCCUUGGGACCUCGAUGGAUUUAGAGCAUGGUGAAGAGGGGAAGCAAUGGGCACAUACAAGGAAGAGAAAAGCUGGAGCGUGCACGAAGAUAGAGAGCACGAGGAUAGAGAAGCAAAAGGAGAGGAGUCACGAUGCAAGAGGAUGUGAGAUGAUCGAGCGAGUUCUACUUCAUAAAGCCCGAUGAGCUGUUUCAUGACCCCAAUCUGAAUAUAUCAUCUAUUGAUACAAGCUGAAAUCAAUUGCUAGUUGGGUUGCUUGAGCCAGUUAUUACUUGUUGUCAAGCUGAAAUUCACCUUUGGCAUCGUGCUUGAUGUGAAUUUGUGAACUUGAUUUCUAGAUGCCUUGUAAACUAGUGAUCUACACCAUGUGUGCUUGGCUGAAAUUAGUGAGAACUAUUAGUUUUGGGUGCUCAAAUCUCUAGUACACUAGAAAACUUCAUCAUUUUCUGCAUUUACUAUGAUACACCUAGAUCACCAUGUUUAGAUGCUGAAUUUGUGCUAAGUGUGUUCCCAUUGAGAGCAAUCACCUAACCACUAUGGAUUAGCAUGCUAUGUUCCCUGGAUCGAUAGCAUGUGAACCAGACAUGGAGAAGUGAGGAUUCCUGUUUUUGUGCUUAUGCGUUGUUCAUUUAAAAAAAGUAAAUCUUAUAAUGAAUAAUAAGUCUGACUACCUACAGUAGCAUGUCAUGUUCCCUGGACCGGUGGCAUGUGAAAUCGGGUUAGCUUGGGCAGUAACUAAUAAUAAAAAAUAUAAUUGUCGAACCAGGUGUAUACCAUGUUCUCUGGAUCGGUGGUAUGUUCCUUUGGGGAGAAAAAAAAACCUAACUAAUAAUUGGUCGAGCCAGGUGUAUACCAUGUUCUCGGGAUCGGUGGUAUGUUCCUUUGGUGAGAUCGACAAAAUAUUAUCAUUACUUUCUUCAAAUUCAAUUAGUGCUUCAACCAUAAUGUUAUGUUCCAGGUAACAAGUUUUUUCUCGGGAUCAAGCUCUCUUUAGGAAACUUUUGGCAAAAUCAACAUUUGAACUUCUUGAUCUUCUUUUAUCAUUGUAAUAGUUUAAAAUGAUCGAGUCUACUAGUAGCCUUUUGCUUUGUAGCACUAUUAACCAUUGAUUUUCACUAGCUAAGUCCAAAGCAUGCAUUGUUUGGAGAUCUACUUCACUUGGCAUUCUCUAGUCAGCUCACUAUUCACUAUCUUGCUCUUGUCAUAUGCCUUUGCUUGAGGACAAGCAAAGAUUUAAGUGUGGGGGAACUUGAUAAGCACAUUUCAUAUAUACAAUCUGGGCACACAAAUAUACCUUUUUUGAGAUAUGACCAUCAAUUCUUGCUGUGAAAUAUUCAAUAUUUGCAUGAAAAUCAUAUAAAGAAUCAUUUACAAGUCAUUUGUUUCUUUUGCAGAAAAGUGCGCAAAGGCACUAUAAACUUCCAAGAUCUGGACUAGGUGGCUAAGAGAAUUAGUCAAGUGAAAAGAUGGGAAGGAAGAAUGGACUUGUGUGUGAUCAUAAGAAGUAACCAGUGGGGCUAGCCAAAGAAGAGAGGGAUCUACUUGGGAAGGAACAAGAAAGGAGGACGGCCAAAGUAUAAAAGUGGCAGAUCAGAUGGGGAUCAAAAUCCCUAGAUGCAUCCAUUCCCAAAUCGGGCCUGCCUACUCAUCUCUCUCCCUCACCCCUCCUUCUCCAACUCCGGCCGCCGCCACGGCCAGGCCGGCGUGGUGGUGCGCCUCUGCCACCCAUCCAUCCACCAGAACACCCACCUCCAGUUCCAUCCAUCUUCCCUCUACAUCACCCAUCUCCAUCCACCACUCCACCGCCGCACCUCGCGCCCCCGAUCAGACGAGCGUCUGGUCCUACGCGUGAGCGCUCCUCUCCGCUGCUUCUCUCUUCUCUCACCUCCCCCUGCUUCUUUCCUCCACUCCUCCAUCUCUGCGGCUUCACCUUCCUUUGCCCUGCUGCUUCUUCCCUCUCCUCAAAUCCUCCUGCUGCUAGACUUCUUCCCUGAACCUCAACUGCUACUGCACCCAUUUUGCUUCUCCUCUUGCUGCUGCUUGUGCGCUUCAGCUGCAUCUUCUUCUCCUGCCUACUACUGCUUCUUCUUCCCCACGUCACUUCUGCUACUCCUGCUCUUCUCUGCCUUGCUACUGUUCUUCUUACCUGAAUCUCAAAAAUGCUGCUGCUCUCUUUCUUUCUCUUUCUCUCACUCUUUCUAUGUGCGCGUGUUCGUGUGUGUGUAGUUGCUGAUAGUUAUUAGUGGAUGCUAGAUCAAUUACAUUCAAAUUAGUAUUAGCUCUCUAUGUGUUUGUUUGUCAGUUAGUGUAUUGUUAUGUUCUGAAAAGGUGAAACUUGUGUACUGUUCUGAACACCCAAUUUGUGUUUUAAUAUGUAUUAGUUUCUGCAAUAUAUGUGAAAUUGUGAGUUGUUGAGCUAAUCAUUUU
rnacentral:lncRNA from 1 species